rnacentral:rRNA from 1 species
CUACGGAGGGUGCAAGCGUUAAUCGGAAUUACUGGGCGUAAAGCGCGCGUAGGCGGUUUGCUCAGUCGGAUGUGAAAGCCCAGGGCUCAACCUUGGAACUGCAUACGAUACUGGCAAACUAGAGUGUGAGAGAGGAUAGUGGAAUUUCCGGUGUAGCGGUGAAAUGCGUAGAUAUCGGAAGGAACAUCAGUGGCGAAGGCGACUGUCUGGCUCAACACUGACGCUGAGGUGCGAAAGCGUGGGUAGCAAACAGGAUUAGAAACCCUAGUAGUCC